GCUUCAGCCUGUUUGGUCUUGAUCAAUCCAGAAAACACACUCGCUGACGUCCUUCUAUCAUUAAGUCGUAGGCAGCGACAAAGCAAGUAGGCGAAGGGACUUUUCACUCGGGAAAGCUCAGAAUCGUCACAGGACUGCCUUGAGAACCUGCACAAAGGGACGGCUUGAGACCUGCAGGCCCUUGGGUCAACAGCCAGUCUUGAACUGGAGAGGUGACAAAGUCACAGUUACUACUAAUACUACUGAAGAUUGGUGCCUGCAGUCAUAAUUGAAGAUGAGACGAUAGUUUAAUUAGAGCAUACCUGUGUCACUGAUGCCGGAGGAAUCCUUCUCUAGCCCAAUUCAGCAACCUUCAUCAGCUUCCCGUUUUGCAAGGCACAUCUCGUCUGGUCUGGUCCUGGCUGACUUCUCCAUUUCACUACCUAACACUUUUUUCUCCUUCACCCUAAACUCAACAUGUCACCUCUCACAUCCAGCCCUCACACAUGCUGCUGCUUCCCCACCAUCAGACCCCCCUCAAUUCGUGCACAUGCACGUACACACACACACACACACACACAUCUUUUUUUCCUCCGUGUGCACUCCAAAAUACUUUCAUUUUUUUUGACAAAACUUAUUUUUGUCAUCUACCAUGUGUUAGCCACCUUACCAUGCUGAUGGCAGCUCUAUCUUACCUUUCUUAAAAAUGGCUCCUUUGGGGUGUGUGGGUGGCUCAGUUGGUUAAGCAACCGCCUUUGGCUCAGGUCAUGAUCCUGGAGUCCCACGAUCGAAUCCCACAUGUGGCUCCCUGCUUGGCGGGGAGUCUGCUUCUCCCUCUGACCUCUCCCUUCUCAGGCUCUCUCUUUCAAAUAAAUAAAUAAAAUCUUUUUAAAAAAUGA